UGGAUUGGUGCCUUCGGGAACUGUGAGACAGGUGCUGCAUGGCUGUCGUCAGCUCGUGUUGUGAAAUGUUGGGUUAAGUCCCGCAACGAGCGCAACCCUUAUCCUUUGUUGCCAGCGGUCCGGCCGGGAACUCAAAGGAGACUGCCAGUGAUAAACUGGAGGAAGGUGGGGAUGACGUCAAGUCAUCAUGGCCCUUACGACCAGGGCUACACACGUGCUACAAUGGCGCAUACAAAGAGAAGCGACCUCGCGAGAGCAAGCGGACCUCAUAAAGUGCGUCGUAGUCCGGAUUGGAGUCUGCAACUCGACUCCAUGAAGUCGGAAUCGCUAGUAAUCGUGGAUCAGAAUGCCACGGUGAAUACGUUCCCGGGCCUUGUACACACCGCCCGUCACACCAUGGGAGUGGGUUGCAAAAGAAGUAGGUAGCUUAACCUUCGGGAGGGCGCUUACCACUUUGUGAUUCAUGACUGGGGUGAAGUCGUAACAAGGUAACCGUAGGGGAACCUGCGGUUGGAUCAC
rnacentral:rRNA from 2 species